rnacentral:misc_RNA from 1 species
AGCUCAGGCUCGUGCUGCAUAACCCGGAGGACAUCACCCCAAGACGGGCCAGGCACGGCUGCAGUCACCGCAAAGCUGUGCGGUCCAUCACUCUGCAAAACCCGCACAACACUGGGCCCACCGAACAGGUUGUGAACUCCACCGACCGCCUCCUCGUAAGCCCCGCCCAAAAACAUCCCCAAGUAAUACCGCCCACCGCCUUCAAUUUCAUGCAGCGGCAAACUUGACUC